rnacentral:rRNA from 1 species
GAAAACAACUAACAAGGAUUCCCUCAGUAACGGCGAGUGAACAGGGAAAAGCCCAGCACCGAAGCCUGUGGCCAUUUGGUUACUAGGCAAUGUGGUGUUCAGGUUGUUCCGCAGAAGUUCUGCUCCACCCUAAGUCCAUAAAUGAGUACGGUAGUAUGGACAUGGCCCAUAGAGGGUGUAAGGCCCGUGGGGGUGGAGAUUCGGUAGGCCAGAACUUCUCUGGAUAGACCUUGGAGUCGGGUUGUUUGUGAAUGCAGCCCAAAGUGGGUGGUAAACUCCAUCCAAGGCUAAAUACUAACACGAGUCCGAUAGCGAACAAGUACCGURAGGGAAAGUUGAAAAGUACUUUGAAGAGAGAGUAAACAGUGCGUGAAACCGCUCAGAGGUAAACGGGUGGAGUUGAACUGCAAGCUUUGAGAAUUCAGCUGAUGAGUGUGGUUUGAGCUUGGUCAAAUUGGUGGACUCCGGGGUCUGCGUAUUAGCAGGUCAGUGCCUUCGGGCAUUGGUGCGCGAUACACUUAUCAAGUGUUGUGCGCCCUGGUUGUUCUUCGGCCUGCUUGUCAGUGCACUUUCUCAGAGUAUUCACCACGACCGGCGUUGCUGUCUGGCUGCUUUGGUUAAACCGGUCUUGCAUUGUCCUUGCGGCUUUGUUUGAGCGGGAUGGCAGGUAGCUCGUUGACUUGCUUGCAGGUUUUCGAGUGUAAUCAGCUGACCUUUGCGGUUCUGUGCAGUGCGUCGGAGACGGCGGCUUGUGGUGUGUGCAUGCGUUCGGAUUGCUGGCUAAUUCGAGUUUGGUUAUCACGUAUUGCUUGUUAAAUCAAGCCUGGUAAUAUCUCGGGUUAGUUCGGUGAUCUGUUGCGUGUGUUUCACUUUCCAAGGGCCAAUAGUCUGUGGUGUAGUGGUAGACUAUCCACCCGACCCGUCUUGAAACACGGACCAAGGAGAGUAACAUGUACGCGAGUCAUUGGGCGUUACGAAACCCAAAGGCGCAGUGAAAGUAAAGGCUUGACUCGUUCAGGCUGAGGUGAGAUCCUGUCGUUUCUCACGCGUGGUACUUCCAAGCAUCGAGCGGCAGGCGCAUCACCGGCCCGUCCCAUGGCAUUUGUUUCCGAACAGUUUUCGGUCGGGGCGGAGCAUGAGCGUACACGUUGAGACCCGAAAGAUGGUGAACUAUGCUUGCGCAGGUUGAAGCCAGAGGAAACUCUGGUGGAGGACCGUAGCGAUUCUGACGUGCAAAUCGAUCGUCAAACGUGAGUAUAGGGCGAAAGACUA